AAACUUGAGAGUUUGAUCAUGGCUCAGAACGUACGCUGGCGGCACGCCUAACACAUGCAAGUCGAACGAAGUAGCAAUACUUAGUGGCAGACGGGUGAGUAACAUGUAGGUAUCUGCCCUUUGGCCUGGAAUAACACGAGGAAACUUGUGCUAAUACCGGAUAAGUCUUUACGGAGAAAGCUUUAUGCACCAUUGGAUGAGCCUGCACUUGAUUAGUUUGUUGGUGGGGUAAUGGCCUACCAAGACGAUGAUCAAUAGCUGAUUUGAGAGGAUGAUCAGCCACAUUGGGACUGAGACACGGCCCAAACUCCUACGGGAGGCAGCAGUGGGGAAUCUUGCACAAUGGAGGAAACUCUGAUGCAGCGAUGCCGCGUGAGUGAAGAAGGCCCUUGGGUUGUAAAGCUCUUUCGUCGGGGAAGAAAAUGACUGUACCCGAAUAAGAAGGUCCGGCUAACUUCGUGCCAGCAGCCGCGGUAAUACGAAGGGACCUAGCGUAGUUCGGAAUUACUGGGCUUAAAGAGUUCGUAGGUGGUUGAAAAAGUUGGUGGUGAAAUCCCAGAGCUUAACUCUGGAACUGCCAUCAAAACUUUUCAGCUAGAGUAUGAUAGAGGAAAGCAGAAUUUCUAGUGUAGAGGUGAAAUUCGUAGAUAUUAGAAAGAAUACCGAUUGCGAAGGCAGCUUUCUGGAUCAUUACUGACACUGAGGAACGAAAGCAUGGGUAGCGAAGAGGAUUAGAUACCCUCGUAGUCCAUGCCGUAAACGAUGUGUGUUAGACGUUGGAAAUUUAUUUUCAGUGUCGCAGCGAAAGCAAUAAACACACCGCCUGGGGAGUACGACCGCAAGGUUAAAACUCAAAUGAAUUGACGGGGACCCGCACAAGUAGUGGAGCAUGUGGUUUAAUUCGAAGAUACGCGCAGAACCUUACCAACACUUGACAUGUUCGUCGCGACUUUAAGAGAUUAAAGUUUUCGGUUCGGCCGGACGAAACACAGGUGCUGCAUGGCUGUCGUCAGCUCGUGUCGUGAGAUGUUGGGUUAAGUCCCGCAACGAGCGCAACCCUCACUUUUAGUUGCCAUCAUUAAGUUGGGCACUCUGAAAGAACUGCCAGUGAUAAGCUGGAGGAAGGUGGGGAUGACGUCAAGUCCUCAUGGCCCUUACGUGUUGGGCUACACACGUGCUACAAUGAUAUCUACAACAGGAAGCAAAACGGCAACGUUAAGCAAAUCCCAAAAAGAUAUCUCAGUUCGGAUUGCACUCUGCAACUCGAGUGCAUGAAGCUGGAAUUACUAGUAAUCGUGGAUCAGCGUGCCACGGUGAAUGCGUUCCCGGGUCUUGUACACACCGCCCGUCACACCAUGGGAGUUGGUUCUACCUUAAGGCAAGGUUUUAAACCCUUGACCACGGUAUAGUCAGCGACUGGGGUGAAGUCGUAACAAGGUAGCCGUAGGGGAACCUGCGGCUGGAUUACCUCCUUU
rnacentral:rRNA from 1 species